AGAGUUUGAUCAUGGCUCAGGAUGAACGCUAGCGGCAGGCUUAAUACAUGCAAGUCGAGGGGCAGCAGGUUUGUAGCAAUACAGAUGCUGGCGACCGGCAAACGGGUGCGGAACACGUACAGAACCUUCCUUUAAGCGGGGGAUAGCCCAGAGAAAUUUGGAUUAAUACCCCAUAGUAUUGUUGAGUGGCAUCACUUGAUGAUUAAAGAUUUAUCACUUAAAGAUGGCUGUGCGGCUGAUUAGGUAGUUGGCGGGGUAACGGCCCACCAAGCCUUCGAUCAGUAACUGGUGUGAGAGCACGACCAGUCACACGGGCACUGAGACACGGGCCCGACUCCUACGGGAGGCAGCAGUAAGGAAUAUUGGGCAAUGGACGAAAGUCUGACCCAGCCAUGCCGCGUGGAGGAUGAAGGUCCUCUGGAUUGUAAACUUCUUUUAUUUGGGAAGAAACCCGAUUUUUCUAAGUCGGUUGACGGUACCAGAUGAAUAAGCACCGGCUAACUCCGUGCCAGCAGCCGCGGUAAUACGGAGGGUGCAAGCGUUAUCCGGAUUCACUGGGUUUAAAGGGUGCGUAGGCGGGCAGGUAAGUCAGUGGUGAAAUCUCCGGGCUUAACCCGGAAACUGCCGUUGAUACUAUCUGUCUUGAAUAUCGUGGAGGUAAGCGGAAUAUGUCAUGUAGCGGUGAAAUGCUUAGAUAUGACAUAGAACACCGAUUGCGAAGGCAGCUUACUACACGAUCAUUGACGCUGAGGCACGAAAGCGUGGGGAGCAAACAGGAUUAGAUACCCUAGUAGUCC
rnacentral:rRNA from 1 species